CCUACGGUAGGCAGCAGUCGAGAAUCAUUCACAAUGGGGGAAACCCUGAUGGUGCGACGCCGCGUGGGGGAAUGAAGGUCUUCGGAUUGUAAACCCCUGUCAUGUGGGAGCAAAUUAAAAAGAUAGUACCACAAGAGGAAGAGACGGCUAACUCUGUGCCAGCAGCCGCGGUAAUACAGAGGUCUCAAGCGUUGUUCGGAAUCACUGGGCGUAAAGCGUGCGUAGGCUGUUUCGUAAGUCGUGUGUGAAAGUCGCGGGCUCAACCCGCGGACGGCACAUGAUCCUGGGAGACUAGAGUAAUGGAGGGGGAACCGGAAUUCUCGGUGUAGCAGUGAAAUGCGUAGAUAUCGAGAGGAACACUCGUGGCGAAGGCGGGUUCCUGGACAUUAACUGACGCUGAGGCACGAAGGCCAGGGGAGCGAAAGGGAUUAGAUACCCCAGUAGUC
rnacentral:rRNA from 1 species